AAGAACAGCACAAAUCUGCUGAGCCCUAGAAUGAAGCUGUGCAGCAGCAUCAUACUGUCCAUCAUUAAACAGAAACAAGUUGAAAUCCUCAGAGCUUGCUUUGGCUUCCCAGAGACGAAGACUAUUGGUGUUUUUAGUUUUGUAUCCUGGAAUGGGCACAUCAUAUGCAAGAGCCUGUACGACCUCUCCACCAACCCAUUUUCGCGAGCCAGAAGGGAGGACUUCAACAUGACCAAAAAACCUGAUAGGAAAGACAACAUCAUGCCUUACAAUUUCCCAGGGACUAAAUUUCUCCAACCAAUCUUCAGGAACUUCUUCUUGGCCAGCCUUCGUGAUAAGCUGCUUAAAAAGUCCAUAUCUGUACCUCAAGCCAUAACCCCAUGCGGGAAGGUUCAAUGUGGCCAUGGAAUCAAGAAAGCAUGAAGCGAGCCUUCCUAAACCACCAUUUCCUAGUGCUGCAUCUUUUUCCUGGUCAACGACCUCCUCAAGGUCCUGACCCAGUUUGUUUAAAGCAUGAGCAUAUGCGUUGUGGAUGUCUAAGUUUCCAAUUGCAUUUGUCAAAGCUCGCCCCUGGAGAUACUCCAUUGAUAAGUAGUAUGUUUGCUUUGGAUUAAGUUUGUGAUAAUGAAGAUAGGUGUCAUUCCAUUGUUUGAUCAAGCGAUCACGAACACUGUCAGCAGUAGCAGCAUAGUAUGCUUGUAGUGGCUCAAAGUUGAAAGGUGAAAAAUGAGGAGUAUAUUGAGCAUGAUACUUGAUAUUAGAUGCAAUGUCAGUAAGUGGUUCAGAAAUAACUGCUGCUGAAACAUCAUUCGAUUUUGCACCUUCACCUUCACCUUCCAUGGAAAAUAAACCUAUACCACCAAUCGAUUUGAAACCGAAUAUAGAUAGUGAUGAAGUGUAUAGAAUAUGCAAAGAGGAUAGGUUAUUAAAGGAGGAUAUUUUUCCCUUUUUUUAUAUUUAUAUAUUAAUAAUAGAAAAAAGCUCUCACCCUUUUCCCGGGCGAAG
rnacentral:misc_RNA from 1 species